rnacentral:rRNA from 1 species
UACGUAGGCAGCAAGCGUUGUUCGGAAUUACUGGGCGUAAAGAGUGUGUAGGCUGGUGCUCCAAGUCUGGUGUGAAAUCUCCCGGCUUAACUGGGAGGGUGCAUUAGAAACUGGAAUGCUAGAGGAUGGGAGAGGUAAGCGGAAUUCCUGGUGUAGCGGUGAAAUGCGUAGAUAUCAGGAGGAACACCUGUGGUGUAGACAGCUUACUGGACCAUUCUGACGCUGAGACACGAAAGACGUGGGUAGCAAACAGG